rnacentral:sRNA from 1 species
UAUGACAAUGCGUACAAAUCUUACGAGGU